rnacentral:piRNA from 1 species
UGCACCUUGUGACCCUCUCCCCUGCGAAC